CCAACAGGGAUUGCUCUAGUAACGGCGAGUGAAGCAGCAAUAGCUCAAAUUUGAAAUCUGGCGUCUUCGACGUCCGAGUUGUAAUUUGUAGAGGAUGCUUCUGAGUGGCCACCGACCUAAGUUCCUUGGAACAGGACGUCAUAGAGGGUGAGAAUCCCGUAUGCGGUCGGAAAGGCGCUCUAUACGUAGCUCCUUCGACGAGUCGAGUUGUUUGGGAAUGCAGCUCUAAAUGGGAGGUAAAUUUCUUCUAAAGCUAAAUAUUGGCCAGAGACCGAUAGCGCACAAGUAGAGUGAUCGAAAGAUGAAAAGCACUUUGGAAAGAGAGUUAAAAAGCACGUGAAAUUGUUAAAAGGGAAGGGAUUGCAACCAGACUUGCUCGCGGUGUUCCGCCGGUCUUCUGACCGGUCUACUCGCCGCGUUGCAGGCCAGCAUCGUCUGGUGCCGCUGGAUAAGACUUGAGGAAUGUAGCUCCCUCGGGAGUGUUAUAGCCUCUUGUGAUGCAGCGAGCGCCGGGCGAGGUCCGCGCUUCGGCUAGGAUGCUGGCGUAAUGGUCGUAAUCCGCCC
rnacentral:rRNA from 4 species